rnacentral:rRNA from 1 species
GACGAACGCUGGCGGCGUGCUUAACACAUGCAAGUCGAACGGAAAGGCCCUGCUUUUGUGGGGUGCUCGAGUGGCGAACGGGUGAGUAACACGUGAGUAACCUGCCCUUGACUUUGGGAUAACUUCAGGAAACUGGGGCUACUACCGGAUAGGAGCUCCUGCUGCAUGGUGGGGGUUGGAAAGUUUCGGCGGUUGGGGAUGGACUCGCGGCUUAUCAGCUUGUUGGUGGGGUAGUGGCUUACCAAGGCUUUGACGGGUAGCCGGCCUGAGAGGGUGACCGGCCACAUUGGGAAUGAGAUACGGCCAAGACUCCUACGGGAGGCAGCAGUGGGGAAUAUUGCACAAUGGGCGGAAGCCUGAUGCAGCAACGCCGCGUGCGGGAUGACGGCCUUAGGGUUGUAAACCGCUUUCGCCUGUGACGAAGCGUGAGUGACGGUAAUGGGUAAAGAAGCACCGGCUAACUACGUG